rnacentral:rRNA from 1 species
GUAACGGAGGAGCACGAAGGUUAGCUAAUCCUGGUCGGACAUCAGGAGGUUAGUGCAAUGGCAUAAGCUAGCUUGACUGCGAGCGUGACGGCGCGAGCAGGUGCGAAAGCAGGUCAUAGUGAUCCGGUGGUUCUGAAUGGAAGGGCCAUCGCUCAACGGAUAAAAGGUACUCCGGGGAUAACAGGCUGAUACCGCCCAAGAGUUCAUAUCGACGGCGGUGUUUGGCACCUCGAUGUCGGCUCAUCACAUCCUGGGGCUGAAGUAGGUCCCAAGGGUAUGGCUGUUCGCCAUUUAAAGUGGUACGCGAGCUGGGUUUAGAACGUCGUGAGACAGUUCGGUCCCUAUCUGCCGUGGGCGCUGGAGAAUUGAGGGGGGCUGCUCCUAGUACGAGAGGACCGGAGUGGACGCAUCACUGGUGUUCGGGUUGUCAUGCCAAUGGCAUUGCCCGGUAGCUAAAUGCGGAAGAGAUAAGUGCUGAAAGCAUCUAAGCACGAAACUUGCCCCGAGAUGAGUUCUCCCUGAGACUUUAAGUCUCCUGAAGGAACGUUGAAGACGACGACGUUGAUAGGCCGGGUGUGUAAGCGCAGCGAUGCGUUGAGCUAACCGGUACUAAUGAACCGUGAGGCUUAACCUU